AUUUAUAUAGUUUAUAAAAAACAUAUCAUUUUCAAUGAUAAAAAGAGUUUUACUCUAUAAAUA
rnacentral:tRNA from 1 species